AUCACAAAUGAAAUAGUCCACCAUUUAUAGUAUAAUCCACAUAAUAUCUUGUACAACUUCUCUUUGUAGUGUUCAUACACCCCUUCCCCAAUAGAUAAACAAUUCUUGUGCCUGUUUACAUCGGUCAUUCUUGUAGUGAAAACUCUAAUUGAAUGAAACACAGAAUUUUUCAGGGAAAGAGGUCUAAGAGAGUUACAAUUGACUUAUUACAACAUAUCGUAUCCAUAGUUCAAAAGAAAGUUCAAGUUUGCAAUAUUUAUACCAUCCAUAAGCAAACCUCACUCUUGAUUUGGUUAUUAGCCAAGCACAAUGCAACUCAUUCAUAUGCAUAGAAUGAUUCCAGUAAAAUCUACGAAAAAAGAAGAUCAAGUCAAUUUACGAAUGCCGGUUCAGCAUCCACGUAUGACAAAACAAUUUGUUCAUACACGAAACAAAAAUAAAUAUAUGCUUUCCAUCGGAUUUUUAAUUUAUCUACAAUUACUUGAAAACUCUUUCCACUUAUUCCUUGCAUUGGGUAGAAACCGUGAGUAUAACUUCUGAGAUACUCAUUUAUCAUCAACAUUUGAUCAAGGUCAAUAAUUUUCUAUAUUUCCAUUCUUAUGUUACUUAAAUUACUACGCCAUCCAACUUUUUUUCCCUUAUGCUAGCACAGAAGUUCUGUAAAGUGUAAAGCAUGUAUCAAUAAUCAUCAUGGUCAAAUAACUAUUUUUUGUAGUCAAAUUAAUUUUGCACACACGAAACAGUGUAAGAAUCUAUGAAAAAUGUGAAAAUGUAUUAAAAUAAAUGUGUUAAAUUACCAACACCAACGACACAGUGCAAUAACUUAAUUAUACAUUUAGAACCUAUCUAAAGCAGCACCGAAGAUAAUCACAAUGAGUGCAACUUACUUGAAAUGCUUUCCGAACCAUUCAGACAUGUCUUGGUUAGUCACGUCAGCUAAUUUUAUACUCAUUUCCACGUAACUCUCUUAACCAAUUUCCAAAAGUAAAAGUUGAUGAGUGUCUGUGAAGUCACAAAGCGGACACCAUGU
rnacentral:lncRNA from 1 species